rnacentral:misc_RNA from 1 species
AAGUCGUAACAAGGUUUCCGUAGGUGAACCUGCGGAAGGAUCAUUACCGAGUGAGGGUUCCUGUCACGGGCCCGACCUCCCACCCUGUGUCUACCACACCUUGUCGUUGCUUCGGCGGACCGGUUGGACCACCCUCCUCUCGUGGGGGGGGCGGUCACGACCGCCGGGGGUGCUUCACCCCGGGAGAGCGUCCGCCGAUGGCCUCACCACAACUCUUUGUCCCCAAACCGGUCGUCUAAAGAAUUACUUGAUAUGAAUCAAACACAAAACUUUCAACAACGGAUCUCUUGGUUCUG